CUGGCUCAGAACGAACGCUGGCAGCGUGGAUUAGGCAUGCAAGUCGAACGUGAAGCCGUUGAUCAAUCUUUCGGGAGAGUGAAGCGGUGGAAAGUGGCGGAAGGGUGAGUAACGCGUGGGCAAUCUGCCUCCAAGUUGGGGAUAACACCGCGAAAGCGGUGCUAAUACCGAAUGUGGCUUCUCGUGGCAUCGCGAGAAAACUGAAGGUGGGGAUCCUUCGGGACCUGUCGCUUGGAGAGGAGCCCGCGUACCAUCAGCUUGUUGGUGAGGUAAUGGCUCACCAAGGCUUACGGUUAGCCGGCCUGAGAGGGUGAUCGGCCACACUGGGACUGAGACACUGCCCAGACUCCUACGGGAGGCUGCAGUCGAGGAUCAUUCGCAAUGCGCGAAAGCGUGACGAUGCGACGCUGCGUGGAGGAUGACGGCCUUAGGGUUGUAAACUCCUGUCAUGAGGGAAAAGCCGCCCCGUCCCUAAUAUGGGCGGGGCCCGAUGGUACCUCAAGAGGAAGCCACGGCUAACUCUGUGCCAGCAGCCGCGGUAAUACAGAGGUGGCGAGCGUUGUUCGGAUUUACUGGGCGUAAAGGGUGCGUAGGUGGUUUCGUGUGUCGGAUGUGAAAGCCCGUAGCUCAACUGCGGAAUUGCAUUCGAAACUGCGGAACUUGAGUGCAGGAGGGGAGAGCGGAAUUCUUGGUGUAGCGGUGAAAUGCGUUGAUAUCAAGAAGAACACCGGUGGCGAAGGCGGCUCUCUGGAAUUCACUGACACUGAGGCACGAAAGCUGGGGGAGCGAACAGGAUUAGAUACCCUGGUAGUCCCAGCCGUAAACGGUGCGCACUUGGUGUGGAGAGAUUUAACCCUCUCCGUGCCGGAGCUAACGCGUUAAGUGCGCCGCCUGGGGAGUACGGCCGCAAGGCUAAAACUCAAAGAAAUUGACGGGGGCCCGCACAAGCGGAGGAGCAUGUGGCUUAAUUCGAUGCAACGCGAAGAACCUUACCAGGGCUUGACAUGUCGACUCUUCGGAGGUGUUAGCGAAAGCUGCUUUACGAACACAGGUGCUGCAUGGCUGUCGUCAGUUCGUGCCGUGAGGUGUUGGGUUAAGUCCCGCAACGAACGCAACCCCUGUGGCUAGUUGCCACCGUCGGUGAUGAGCCGGCGAGCACUCUAGUCAGACUGCCCGUACAAGCGGGAGGAAGGUGGGGACGACGUCAAGUCAGUAUGGCCCUUACGCCCUGGGCUGCACACGUGCUACAAUGGCCGGCACAGAAGGAUGCAAUGCCGCGAGGCGGGCAAAUCCCCAAAGUCGGCCUCAGUUCGGAUUGGAGUCUGCAACACGACUCCAUGAAGUCGGAUUCGCUAGUAACGGCGUAUCAGCUACGGCGCCGUGAAUACGUUCCCGGGCCUUGUACACACCGCCCGUCACAUCAUGAAAGCCGUCUGCACCCGAAGUCGCUGAGCCAAUCUUAACGGAAGGCAGGUGCCGAAGGUGUGGGUGGUGAUUGGGAUGAAGUCGAAACAAGGUA
rnacentral:rRNA from 1 species